rnacentral:rRNA from 1 species
CCCUUAGAUGUCCUGGGCUGCACGCGCGCUACACUGAUGUGUCCAGUAAGCACCUAACCUCUUCCGAAAGGAACGGGUAACCUUUGCAAAGCACAUCGUGAUGGGGAUAGAUUAUUGCAAUUAUUAAUUUUCAACGAGGAAUUCCUAGUAAGUGCGAGUCAUCAGCUCGUACUGAUUACGUCCCUGCCCUUUGUACACACCGCCCGUCGCUACUACCGAUUGAACGGUUUAGUGAGGGCCUCGGAUUGGUCUCGGCCCGCUCUUUACCGGGCGGCGCCGUUGGUCGAGAAGACGCUCGAACUUGAUCGUUUAGAGGAAGUAAAAGUCGUAACA